rnacentral:piRNA from 1 species
UAAAGACUUUCUAUUGGCUUAAACCUAUUGU